AUAAGGUCGACUGGGCGGGGCUGGUGUGGACGAUGGUUGAGAAGGAACUGCAGGAGGCGACGAAAUCAGGACAGUGCUUGUAUGCUUCGCAUCUCCAGCGCCUGAUCAAGCACCAGCGUCCCGAGCUGUUCGAGGCAGAAGCGGUUGCUGUCUCUGAACCAGAGGUGCUUGUGGAGGUCGCAGUCUCUGAGCCAGAGGUGCUCGUGGAGGUAGAUGUGGCUGUGGAGGAACAUGAUGACGACAAUGUAGCUCCAGAUGAAGAGGAAGGUGACCUUGAUGCUGCACCCCCGGCUGAACAGGAAG
rnacentral:misc_RNA from 1 species